ensembl:lincRNA
GUCACGUUUGUAGGUACCAUGUUCUAGCUUUCAUGCGUACUGAGAUGUGUCCUUUCAAUGGUGCUGCUCUUUGGCAGAUUAAAAAUGGUUGCAGUCUCUCAUGAUUUGCCUGAUUCAACUGUUUGUGUAUGAAGGUCCUCUGUGUCUGUGUUUUAGACUACUACGGAGGAACUGAAUGAGAGGGUGAAUCUGCAGCAGAGCAGCCCGCAGGAACUACAGAGAGGUACCGUGAGAGAAAGCUGCUGGCAAGGGAAGGGCAGGCUGUGCAGGCAGCUGAGCAGGCACAUGAAGAGGAGCUUCGCCAGCUCAGACACUGGCACAGAGAGAACCGGCUGCGUCUGCCGGUAACAGCCCCCACACACCCCCUUCCUCCAGCACAGGGCCUGAAGUCAGGAAUCUCUAAGUGCAGGGAACAUGAGUGACAAAGCUAGAUUUACAAAAACAAAAAAAAAAGAUAUUGAGUUAUAAGGGCAUCUGGGUGCCAGUACCAUUGUUUCAUUUCUAGGAGGAACUUAAACAUAGAGAUUUAAAAAGGGAUUAUUGUAACAAUACUUUUAACUGAAGCCUAUUUAAUAUCUCAGUGAUGGAAUACUGUAGGUCAUAUUUCAAGAGCACCAGGGCCCUGAUAGUUUGAGAGCAUUACCCUUAAUUAGUACUGAGGUUAUGCUUUUAAUUUAGGUUGCAAAAUGGUGGGUUGUAAAAAACACCAUACAAGAGUAUAAUACACAAGAUAUUAUGUAUGCAUUUGUGAAUGUUGAUAACAGGGAAACUGCUCCUUAUUCCUGUUACCUGGAAAUGUAAGGAAGCUCUUUUCCUGAGCUUGUGGUGAGCUGGUGGUAGCAGGCAGUGCUGAAACUGAGAAUGUGCUGCAGGAGGACGACUGGGCUGCUCCAGGUGAGCUGGAUCACGGCGCUGACAUCACCAGCCCAGAGAGCCUGCAGCCUGGGCACGGUUCUGGACCUGAUGAGGGGCAGGAGGAGAGGAGAACAGGCUUUAUCACCAACGCUGAGAAAGAGAUCUGCUCCUCAGCCCUGGAGCAGGAUGGAACUGAGUCCUCUGUCGGUCUCGGCACCGGAAGGAUCUCCGUCUCGGUCAGCUGGAGUCGGAGAGCUGGGAGCGAGAGGGCGCGGGCGGGGGCAGAGCAGACAGAACGAGCAGCACUGGCGCUGCCUAGAGGCCUGCGUACACAACAGCACAAAGAGGGGCAAAAUGAGCUGAAAACAACGAUUGGUAUCCUUUUUAUUUCAUUAUAAAUGUUUACAACAUUUAAGACAUUUCCAGGAAUAAGAUGCCAGUCUGAGGCUCAGUAUUGUCAGUUAUUAUUACACAACCUGCUAAUUCUUCCUUCUGCCUUAUAAUUUUCUGGAAAUUAUUACUCUUCUGUAAGGUCUUCUUGUCCCUUCUGUUUUUCAUCUCUCCUCCUGUUAUUAUAUCUAUUUCCUUGGUUAUCUAAGGAAUGCCUGAGGCUGGUGUUGCACCUGAAGGGCCUGUGGAGGACGGUCGCCUGUCGCCGUGGGAACCUCUGGCCCUGGGCAGUGAGGCAGUGAGAGAAAGGGGCGACGGCCUGGUACAUCCUCAGGGGCCUCCAGGGCAGGGAAUCAGGGGCAGGGUGUCAGGGCUUUGAAGGGGUGCUGGGAUAAAUAAUGGAUCACAAAUGAAGAGGGUGGCAUGACUUCAAAGGGUUAAUAAAUCAGUGUAUAUUUUGUUUAAAUAGGUUAUGAGAAUAGUUCAGAAUGGUGUGAUUGCAUUUAAG